rnacentral:rRNA from 1 species
UACACUCCUACGGGAGGCAGCAGUGGGGAAUAUCGCACAAUGGGCGCAAGCCUGAUGCAGCCAUGCCGCGUGUAUGAAGAAGGCCUUCGGGUUGUAAAGUACUUUCAGCGGGGAGGAAGGCGAUAAGGUUAAUAACCUUGUCGAUUGACGUUACCCGCAGAAGAAGCACCGGCUAACUCCGUGCCAGCAGCCGCGGUAAUACGGAGGGUGCAAGCGUUAAUCGGAAUUACUGGGCGUAAAGCGCACGCAGGCGGUCUGUCAAGUCGGAUGUGAAAUCCCCGGGCUCAACCUGGGAACUGCAUUCGAAACUGGCAGGCUAGAGUCUUGUAGAGGGGGGUAGAAUUCCAGGUGUAGCGGUGAAAUGCGUAGAGAUCUGGAGGAAUACCGGUGGCGAAGGCGGCCCCCUGGACAAAGACUGACGCUCAGGUGCGAAAGCGUGGGGAGCAAACAGGAUUAGAAACCCCUGUAGUCC